GCCCAGGUAUGCCAAUUGGCAGAGCGGUCCGGCUCGGGCACAUACGCUCCGCGUAGGUCGCCGGACGUUUGCAGGUUCGAGUCCUGCUCUGGGUA
rnacentral:tRNA from 1 species